GAUGAACGCUGGCGGCGUGCCUAAUACAUGCAAGUCGAACGAACAGACGAGGAGCUUGCUCCUCUGACGUUAGCGGCGGACGGGUGAGUAACACGUGGAUAACCUACCUAUAAUACUGGGAUCACUUCGGGAAACCGGAUCUAAUACCAGAUAAUAUAUUGAACCGCAUGGUUCAAUAGUGAAAGACGGUUUUGCUGUCACUUAUAGAUGGAUCCGCGCCGCAUUAGCUAGUUGGUAGGGUAACGGCUUACCAAGGCAACGAUGCGUAGCCGACCUGAGGGAGUGAUCGGCCACACUGGAACUGAGACACCGUCCAGACUCCUACGGGAGGCCGCAGUAGGGAAUCUUCCGCAAUGGGCGAAAGCCUGACGGAGCAACGCCGCGUGAGUGAUGAAGGUCUUCGGAUCGUAAAACUCGGUUAUUGGGGAAGAACAACUGUGUAAGUAACCAUGGCGGUCUUGACGGUACCUAAUAAAAAAGCACCGGCUAACUACGUG
rnacentral:rRNA from 1 species